CCUACGGGAGGCAGCAGUGAGGAAUAUUGGUCAAUGGACGAGAGUCUGAACCAGCCAAGUAGCGUGAAGGAUGACUGCCCUCUGGGUUGUAACCUUCUUUUAUAAAGGAAUAAAACGAGGCACGUGUGCCUUUUUGCAUGUACUUUAUGAAUAAGGAUCGGCUAACUCCGUGCCAGCAGCCGCGGUAAUACGGAGGAUCCGAGCGUUAUCCGGAUUUAUUGGGUUUAAAGGGAGCGUAGAUGGGUUGUUAAGUCAGUUGUGAAAGUUUGCUGCUCAACCGUAAAAUUGCAAGUGAUACUGGCAGUCUUGAGUACAGUUGAGGUAGGCGGAAUUCGUGGUGUAGCGGUGAAAUGCUUAGAUAUCACGAAGAACCCCGAUUGCGAAGGCAGCUUACUAAACUGUGACUGACAUUGAUGCUCGAAAGUGUGGGUAUCAAACAGGAUUAGAUACCCGGGUAGUC
rnacentral:rRNA from 1 species